rnacentral:lncRNA from 1 species
GAAGAUAGAAUAAAAAGGAGAAAGACGUAUCAUACAUGCAGCCUUGAACUAUCGAGAAAAAGAAAGAAAAUGUUUAAGAUGUCUUUGUCUCACAUCAGUGCUAAUGGAAUUAAAUGCCGCGACAGUAUUUCCCUUGCAAAUACGAAGAUUAGUCUAUACUUGUCAAGGACGAAUACUGGAAAUCACUUAUGCGAUUAUGGACAUUCUAUUUGGUUCACGGUGGAAGGGAAAAACUGCGAGAACAAAAAUAGAACAUCAAAGAUAUCUCUGUACUUUUGUAAUCGUUGUAAAAUCUUCAAAAGGAUCUUGGCUAUUCCAAGUAGAAGAAAAGGAAAAUGUAAGGAACGACAGAGUUCGUGAUUCGCACGAAAGAUUCUUCUCCGCGUCUGGAAGAGAAACGUCGACGGCAUAAAGAAUCGAUUCUUCGGAGUCCAGCGACCCUUUAGCUUCGUCCGCAAAUCGAAAACGUCGUUGACCAUUGAAUGCGUCUGGGAUGCAUCUGUAUAUGCAUUGUAUCUGUGUAUAUUGAUGAUAUCUACAGGGUGUUCACAUUCAACAUCCCAAAAAGUUUCUCGAGAUCUUGAACGAAGUCGGGAUGAGCGUAGGUCGUCGCCGAAGAAACGAAAUAAAAAUUCCAUAAGUUUAUAGAGAAGAAGAAGACGGUGAGGGGGAAGUAAAGUAGGAGGAGUAGGCGCCGCUGGGUAAUCGACCGAUCGAGUUUGACCGGAGUUGAUCGUCGGACGACCUUGGAAAAUAUCGUCUCUCUCGAAGAUGCUAUACCAAGAAAAAUGAUCUAAAUAGCUAUCGUACAGACAGAUGUCUUAAACAACGCUAUAUAAUAAUUAUAAGCAAACAGUUUGAUUAAUAAUUACAUCAUCAAUGUAAUAAGAUACUUGAAUCAUCGAGAUUAAAUUAUUCAAGAAGCAUAAAUCAUCGUGAUCGUGAUUAUCAUCUUAUCCACUGAAUAGAAGAUAAAGAAAAAACAACAACAACAACACAUGCAGCUAAUUGUAGAAAAAAGGAGAAACGGAAGGGAUUGUAUUAUUGGUCGACGAGCUUCCGGUUUGAAGCCCUCUCUCUACGCGGAGACCAUUCUAAGCAUUUGCUUGGCCUCCUCCGUUACACCUACGCACGUAUUUUAUACGACUGAUAAAUACUAAAAAAAAAAACGUUCGGUGUAUCUGUGCAAAUAAAAAGGCUUCGUUUGCAAAUCAAAGUAAACAGUAUCGUCACUGGGAGAAGUAAAACAUUCACUUACGAACAAGCGUGUCAUGUAUACGAAUGUUAUUAUGUACGAGCUGCUUGCAAUACGUGGAAGAACGCACGCGUAGAAAACGAAUUUCGUACACCUGGUCGUAUUAGAAGAUAUUCGAUAAACGUAUUUAGAUAAGAAGCAAGUGAUUUACGAAGCAAGUGAUGUCGUCGUAGGAAGAAAGUCAACAUUCGUUUAGGAAGAAGCCGUGGCUCAUUUAAAAACAUUGUUUAUUAGCUUGCUAGACUUAGAAAAAGAAGGCAGAAAAAGAAGGCAGAAGAAGAAGAAGAAGAAGCAAUCGAAUAUAAUCAUUCGAGAAACGUUUCGCUCGCAUCAGCUUAAUGACCGUAUAAAGGGUGCCACAGAAAAAACUGAAGGAAUAUGAAGAAAGAAUAAGAAAACAAGGUAUCGAACAAACGAAUUCGAAGGACGAGAAAGACGUUGGAGGAUUCAGGCACGAAACUCAAAAAUCUAGAAGAAAUGUUCUCGCAAAGAGAGAAGCUUUGUAUAUGUUUAAAAGAUUAGAAAAAGAGUUAACGUAAGAGGGCUAGAAACAAAG